AUCGGGGCGUAAUUUUGAAAUCCUUCCGAAUGUAGAGCAAUGAGAGGGUGAGAAAGUCUUAAUCCAGCAUUCGUCCGUGGUUUAUGAUGAGGUGCGUGCUAAUUUGUGUCUAGUGGUUGAAAGGAAUCCAAAUUCGUGAUGAGUCGAUUCACGCUCACGAUAAUAGGGCUCCUUAUUUUCCCGAGCGUGCUCUCGUCCAGAGAAGAAAGACUGCUCCAGACGCCAUCCAAAGAGACUCUGGAACGAACAUGUCCUUGUUUGCCCGUCGAAGUAUGCCAGAAACACCAAGGCACAGGCGGUAAUUCAGGAUGGUCGGGCUUGAUUCCAGUGUGCGAGGACUUGAGCCUGGUGCGCUGCUGCGGGGCUCCACCUAUGAAAAAAGUGAGUUAUCCCGGCCAAUUAAUACAAAAUGCCCGUUUAGAUUUCAGCCACAACCCCAGUGAUGAAAUAAUCCGUCAUACAAGGGACACGCUGAGCGACAAGGAGUCCUUGAUGAAGAAGUUGGACGAAACCAAAGGCUUCAAGAAACAAGAUCUGAGCGAACUUAAAGGCAAAAUACGGCCACGCAGAGCUAUUGACGAUGAUGAAGCUGUAGUCACAACUCAAAUGAGUGAUGCAAAAGUUAAUGUGACAGUUAUGUUGCAUGCAGUCAAUGAAACCAAAAUUCAGUCAGAGAGCGAGACGAAAAAUGCAUUUGCAGUCAUCGUUGAACAGGAAAUGCAUCCAGCGAAUGAUAUGAAAAGUGGAGUGACACCCAUCGCCGGAGGAGAGGUAUCGGCAGUCACUGAAAUGAAAAGUGACGUCGUAGCCACCACAGAGCCAGAGCUGCAUUCAACGAUUUUAGAAAAGAGUGAAGGGACAGUCUCAGCACAGCAGGAAGUGCAAAUGAACGAUGAUUUAGAGAAAGCAGCUGCAGUUACUACUGAGCAAGUGAUGCACUCAACUAGUGAUAUGAAGAAUGAGAUGGCAGCCAACGUUGAGUCAGGGAUACAAGAAAAAAGUGAAGCAACAGUCGUUCCUGAAGGAAGUACCCAGUCAGGUAACGUGAUGACGAAUGGAGUUGAUGUCACCACGGAGAAGGAGAUGCGUCUUAUCGAAGAGGCGAAGAAUGAGACUGUAAGUAUGAUCGCUCCAGAAAUGCGCAUGGUCAACGAAAUGGGAAGUGAAGGUACAUCCACAACCGAACAGCAAAUUCUUUCAGAAUCUGAAAAGGUCAACGGAGCAUCAUCCACCUCAGGACUCGUUAUGAAUGAUGAAGUUGUAACUGCAAAUCCUUCGGUCACCUCGUCCGAAAAUGAAAUAAAAAUCCCCGAGGUAAAAAUUCAAGCUACAGACAACUCAACACAAAAUGGGAGCUCUGAUGGCAGUCCUACAGCACGUCAGGAAAUUUCGACGCAGGAUUUGAGUUCUAAAUCCAUCGAAGAGGUCACCACUGAAAAUUCUGCCAAGUUGUCAACUGAACCUGUUGAAAUGACAUCAUCCAGCUCAUCAGAUAUUAGCACCACGAUUUUGAGUUCAAGUGCACCAAAUGAUGAAUCAUCGGCAAAUCGUGAAAUGACUGAGCAAAGUCCGGCAAAAAUUGACUCAGUGAGUAAAGUUGCGACCCUUUCACCCUUAAUGGACAGUAGCUCUGUAAAGGCAGAUUCUUCGAAUGUGAAUGUAAGCAGCACAGAGAGAAGUAUUCAAGCUACAACUCAGGACAAGUCAAUCUCAACCAGUAAAACUUUCCCCAUCGAUUUUAGUAAGGUGAAAAAGUCUAAAUAUUUGGAUGUUAAAGAAGAGGUAGAAUCUAAAGUUGCUGUUGUGUAUGCAAAACCUGCAAGCGCCGAGGAGGAGAAAAUAAACGAGGAACUAAAGAAGAAGUUGGAUUCCAUGAUCCGAUCCAGUUUGAACACGACCGAUGGACCAAGUCAUGAUGAUGAUCGCCAUCAUAUCCAGCACAUUCCGUUGGGAAAACGUUUGAUAAUUUACAAAAAAAUAAAACCGUCCGAUAAGAAAGCCAUCAAGGAAUUGAUUUACGACAGCUUACAAACGGCAAAUCAAACUGAUCGCGCCUCUGGUGCACUUAAUGAAACAGUUUCGAGUGCUACUCCACCAGCAGAUAAUUCAACAAAUACUGUUAAAGAAGCCUUUGAGGCAUCUAAAGUUUCAGAGACCAAGUCGAACCCAGAGAAAGAUUCUGAUGAUACUUUGGAGGCUGCUCAAAGUUCGCAAGUUCCAGUCUACGUAUUAAGUCCCGGUGCCGCAAAUGGUUCACCUGCUGAGGCAGCCGAGGAGGAGCAUUCAGCAAAAAUUGACUUCGUUAAAAAGGGUUCAGGGGCACCAUUUAAUUUUGCAAGCAGGUUUUCACCCCCUGGUGUUGGAGUUAAGGUGGCAGAUACUCCGCAUACAUCGACGGAGCACACAAACCGUCCUACUGCUAACAGAGGACGAAUAAAGUUCCAAGAAAGUAUCAUAAAUGAUCAGCUGAAGGAGAAAAAAGCUGCCGCAGAAAGAGGACACGUAAGUAGUACGAUUGACACAGUGUCGACCGACAUCUCUGUUAAUCAUCCAACUAGGAAAAAUUUCAAUCGACCCUCUGUGGGAUCAGUCAUUCCUUCGAACAAUUCUCCGGUAGAAUCCAAUCCUCAGGUUAAUCCUCCAACUAAUUCAAACAGCCGACUUGUCAUACAAACCCAGAGUAUCCUUAAAAAGCCAGUUCCGUCAUCAGCUUCUCCUUCAACGGAUUCUUCACCAAUAUUAAACCACCAUAAUGCUGGCUCAAACACGCCAAGUGGCGUCUCUGCCGUACAUGCUGCCAAAAAUCAGUUUGAGCAAUCCCCAUCACAGCCGGCAGUUCACACGACAGACUCUUCCGGUAAGUUCGAAUUCCAAAAUAAGCCCCCCACAACCCCUGAGGUCAAACAUUAUUUAAUCAAUCAUUCAAAGGCUGAGCAUGGAGACGGAACUGCCAAUUACGAGUUUAUCGGUCAAACUGAGAGCAAUUUGAAGGGUGACGCAAUCGUUUUCCCAAAUUCGGUCGAGCAUGAAAAUAAACCAAAUCAAAACCAAACGAAGGAAGAAAAAACUCUUUAUUCGCAAAGCACGGAAAAGGAUGGCACCGUUCAGCUGAGAGAAAAUCAAGCUGCGAUUUAUCAAGAGCGCGCUCAAGAGGGAGACUCGAGCCCAGUGCCACCCACACAAUCAGAGAGUAGCCAGGUUACAAACACCGUUCCUCCGUCAAGUCAUGUUGCCGGCGACAAAACACAUCACUCAGAUGGGCCCGUCGAAAAGGAUAAAGCUGCAAGUUCACGUAGACCCGAUUACCAGAUCAUAAGACGUCCGGAAAUAGAGCCCCCAACUCACGCCGCAGAUAGUGAAAAACCAAGUAAAUUUGCUUCUCCAAGCCGUAUCAGAGGUGGUCCGAAGAAGCAAAACGGGUUGAAAUCAGACCCCUCGAACGAUUCUCAGCCUGAUGAGAAGGUGAUUGAACAAGUAUCGCCAAAACCUGCCAGAUUUGGUAAUCGCCACAGAUUUGGGUCACGAGAGCCUUCAAAACACAUCUCAAGCACCAAUGAGCAAGUUGAAGGUCACCAAAGCCGCUUCGGUGCUAAAAGGCCGGUUCAAAAAGAAUCAGAAGAAGAGCAGCAAGGACCCUCAACUCGCCACCCAGAGCAAGAAAGUGGAACUGAGGCAGCAAUUCAAACCAAAUUUGAAAGACGGAAACACGGUGGAUUCAAGCGUGGACCUUCAACUCAAUCACCAGUGAAUGAAAGAGAAGAUGCAGUCGUUCGUCCUAGUCGUGUCAGAGGGGAAAAACACGAGCGGCCAACUUUUACUCCCAGUCGAAAGAUGCAGACUAGCAUUCUUGUAGCGGACAGCGACAGUGCCGUAGAGGCAUCUGACAUCGAUGUAACAAUCGAUAACAACAAGGAGGAGAUAAUAUUUGCAGAGACAAAUUCUCGUGGAGCGCUAGCUGUUCCUUUGAGAGAGGGAGUUGCUUUCAAUCAAAAUUCAUUCCAACCUCCUCAGCAAUUUGCAACAGGAUUUGCACCGAUUCAGCGUCCUCAAACUCCGGCAGAUACUUCCCCAGACCGCAUACCCGGACCUGCAGUUCAAAAUUUCGGACCUGCAGUUCAGAGUUUCAGACCUACAGUUCAGAGUUUCGGCCCUGCAGUUCAAGCAGUUCAACCCAUAGGCAAAAUCCAGACUCCAGCAAGUACGUCUCCGGAUCGCAUACCUGGACCAGCAUUUCAGGGGCGCGGACCAUCAGCUCAAACACCACCUGUAGUCCAAACACCUAGACCUGUACCUCAGACACCCCAACCUACUUUCAAUGUUCCUGGAAACGCUGUUCAAAUACCUGGGCCAGCAGUCCAAACUUCUGGAUCUUUACUGAGUACACUGGGAAACGCACUUCGUAUAGGGGGAGCACCUCAAUCUGGUAGACCGAUAUUUAAUAUUCCUGGAAAUCCAGGCGUUGUUCCUGCAAAUGCAAAUAGAUCACCCAUAUUUGCACCAAACACAGUAGGGAAUGCCGCCCGUUUCCCUGCUGGUGUACCCCAGUCAUCUGCAUUCAGUACACCGGAAAAUGCAGUGCGUGUUCCUGUAUCAACGGGCCAGCCAUCUGAGCGCCCUGUCGUAAAUCAGCAAUACUUCAAUGCGGUACCAUCUGCCUCUUUGCAAAAGCCUCAAAAUUUAGGAAACUUAAACAACAAUAAUAUUAUUCAACAGCCCUCUACUCUAAGGCCUACCUUCCCUCCAAAUGUGAAUAUUCAGGAUGCUAUCAACCCCAAAUUUUCUAAAAAUAUCAGACCUACCGCUUCGACUUUCCAAAAUACCGAUCUACGUCUCCAGCAGAACAUUUUUGGCAGCAAUUAUGUUUUCAACUCAAACGCUGCGAGCGAUCAGAAACGAGUUGUCACUCAAAAUUCCCAACUAUCAAAUGCUCAGGUUGAUUACAGUCGAAUUCCCGCUAAUCAACUUUUGAACCCGGGCACGAGGUUCGAAGUUCAACAACAAGCUAAUCAAAAAUAUUUCCCCAAUCCUGGAUCAGUUUUCAACAUACCUCUUCUACAACCAAGCGUGCCACUUACAGCAACAACAUCCGCACCAGCAGUAGCUCCCAGCAGUUUGGGCGUUUUACAGAGAAUGCCAGGUUACAUCAUGCAUCAAUUCAGAAAUUUAUUCAGCUCUCAGCAAGAGAACCAAGUUCAGACGGAAAAAGCACCAGAGGCCCAGGAAGUGGAGCCAGCUCAAGAACAGCCAACCAGAUUCACAAUCCCGUUAGCCCGACGACCAGUUGUGUUUGGAGGCCAACGGCAGGAUGGGUCCCUGAUCAACUCUAUCAGGAAUGACAAAAACUAUGAGACGACGAAUAGCCAAAGUGUGUUGAAAGCGCUUGAGGCUCUGAAAUUGCAGUCGCAAACUCAACAGCCUGCUCAAAUAUCCCAACAAGAUAGGACAGCAGCUGAUAAAAUCAGAGAGAGUCAGUUAUUAGAAACUUUAAAUCAACAACUUCUCGGGAAUGGCAAACAACAAGCAGGUGCUUUCCCGAAGCGUAUCGUAAUUCCAAACAGCGCUCCAGCAGGCACGAUUGAACCAUCAAACGUGGGUCGAAAGACGGUUAGCCCUUCAGGAUCAGCCUUAGACAUCUUGAAAUCUCAAUUUUCUCAAACAGAGGCCGAAUUUGCUCAAUUAGCUCAGUCAGAGGGGAAUUCGAACCCGCAGGCAGGUCCCAAGAGGCCACAAUCUUUGAAAAAUCGUCGACCUACUCAGAGUUUUAAUUUGCGCAAAGAACAGUUGCCCAUUGAAAACAUUCAAGCAAACCGAGUGACACAGGAUUUGAGCACAGAAAACACAAUUCGUCCAGAAACAACGAACAAUCCAUCCUUAACGGCUCUUGAAGUCUUGAAAUUACAGUCUUUACAGGAAGCUCAAUCACCUCAAAGAGCAGAGCUCCAAGAACAUGUAGCGAAAGUAGAAAAAACCAUCAGUCCAAGUGUAUCAGCAUUUGAGAUCCUUCAAUCCCAAUUUUCUCAAACGUCUCAGCCACAGCAAAAUGAAGAUUUAAAGAAAAAUGAUGAAGCAACCAGAGUCGACUCCAAUGUAGAGUCGGAUCAAGUGAAGAAAGAAGAACAACAUGAAGCGGUACAAAGCCAAGAGCAAACAUCAACAGCUGGAAGGCAGCAAGUUCAGAAGGGUGGUAGACGUCAAUUUCCUAGCAGAAGCCGGGUGAUCUCGGAUCAAGUUUCCCGUCAAGAAGUAUCCACUAGGAAUGGAAAUGUCCAAGGAACACAAGAAGGAGUAUAUAAGAGGAAGAAAACGCAACGCGUCAGGACUGGUGGACAACGUAAGAAAUUUAAGCCACGACCGAGACCUCAAGUCGCGGGCGCGGAAACUCAAGCUCUGAGAGAAAAUUUCAGCCAAGAAAAUUCAAAUGCUGCAGAAAUUUCUGCAGGUCCAGUUCCGAAACGUCUCGAAGUGCCUGGCAGUUCUCCAGUGAACCCAUUGGCAUCAUCACAAGCAGAAAAUCUAAGAGAAGGCACAACAUCAGCUGAAUUAAGCCCAAACCCUUCAGAGGCAGUGGCUGAAUCAAGGAACCAACAAGCCGACACUACCUCAAAAACUCAGACGUCGAAUCAAUACGCUGAACAAAUGGUCGAACAAAUGGGUGUAUCAGUGGAACCGGAUCAGGUUUUGCUCAUAAAUGAUGGUUAUCCACCGAUUCGCUCAAUGUUCAACUCGGCACCACUGUACGCUCCGAGUGGUGAAAAGCGCGCGAAGUUUCCACCUAGCUCGAAGCUCAAAGAAAGAAAUCAGCAGCAAUCAGUUUCUGAGGAACAAUCUGCAGAAACUUCGACGAGCUCGACAGAGUCAACUGUUCCUAAUCUCAGCGAGGUCCCGGUGUUCCCAUCACGAGCCACACAGCCCAACUCGCGGCCAAGGAUCGUACCUGUCAGGAGGCGACUCAAUAGCCGAGGUGAAGUUCAACGAAGUCCAGAAAAGAACGUUGAAAGUACUCGGAUUGUGAGUACGGCAUCUCCGGAAAAUCCUCCGCGCGUUAAAAAGUCCGACGCUGAUAGCAUGAACGAGCGCUUUGUCAGUGCUAUGUAUAGUUUGUCCCAAUUUUUGAGGUCAUGAUGAGAGUUGGAAGAAUAUUUACCUUUCCAAAAAGUCUGAUAAUUUUUUGUGAUACUGAAAAUUCUAUGUUUAUUCACUAAAAGUCAGCGUUCAUGAAUGCUGUAAACAGAUGCUGUUUUUCAUGAAAAUAUAAAGUUUUGUAAAUAUAAUAGUUUUAAGAUAGUGGGCGUUUAAACCUAGUUGUAAUUUAUUUUUGUGUGUUAAUUGUGAAAAAUUAAUGGGGAAGGACUUUGUUAUCGCUUCUUCCAUAGUACAUAUUUGACUCAUUUGUCUCUAGAAUCAUGUAGAGAUAAAAAUCGCGUGCUUCUUUAUGUAAAUUUUGUUAUCCUUGAAACGACUGCAUUUAAAUAAAC
rnacentral:lncRNA from 1 species